ACGAAGAUGGCGACAUUGCCAAGUUAUAGCGGAUCACUUCUGGGCCAGGUUCAUUCGGAGUUAUUUGCCAACCUUGCAGCACAGGCAGAAGUGGCAUGGAGCCCCAGAGGAUCUGACAGUGGGCUCAGUAGUUCUGUUGAUAGACCCACAGUUCCCCAGAGCACUCUGGCCCAUUGGUAGAGUGGUUGCAGUACAUUGUAGUGCAGAUGGUCACGUGAGGUCUGCGGAUAUCCAAGUCAAGGAUAAGGUUUAUACCAGACCCGUUGCCCGGCUGAUUACUCUUCCAACGAUACCUGACACUGAAGUGGAUGAGCAAUGCACUCCAGGUGCAACAGAUUCAACUUAGCCUUUUGCGGAGACAAAUUGCACACAAUUUGGGGGCGGCUGUGCAAAAGGCGAUAAAGAGAGCUACAGAGUACUGCUGCAUUGAAUCUGUUGAGGACUUUGAUUUUGAAAUAUGUACAUCACGUAUCGGUGCGUGUGGGCGCAUACGUGCCGACGUCAGUAUGAACCAAUCGACAGUCUGUGUCUGUGACAUUUAGCGAUCGGUCUCUCCGCAUAACUAGUGCCAGAGAUGUUCAUUGUCAUUUAUCAGCCUCAGCUUGACUGUAUUUGUGCUGUGUGCGUCCUGUAGAAGAAUAAACCACACACUUCCACAAACUUGUAUGCAUAUGUCCUGCACAUAUCUACAAUACAUCAAGCUCUCAUCCUUUGAUAAUCAUCCAGCCUGUCGUGAGUCAAACCAACUGCAGUAAAGAUCACACAGUGGAUAGCCUGUACAUUUGAUUCCAUUCUGGAUGGAUAUAACUUGCACUUGAUUCAGCUUCAUCAUCUCGAUGUUCUCUGAUGCUGCAAUUACAGAGAUUGAACAGAGCUAAGAAUAUUCAUCUAAUCUGAGUUUAUAAAGCAGCCCAUCGACUGAACAAAAUACCCAAACCUCUCAUCGUGAACAAGCUCAUAUUACAGUAUCCUGACAUUUAACCACUGCAGUUUAUGUAAAGGCUGUCUUCCCUCACCAAUGUUAAUCAUCAUACUUUAUGAUUAUUAAACGUAUUGAAACUAA